rnacentral:rRNA from 1 species
CGUAGCCGCGGUAAUACGUAGGGUGCGAGAGUUAAUCGGAAUUACUGGGCGUAAAGCGUGCGCAGGCGGUUCGUUAAGACAGAUGUGAAAUCCCCGGGCUUAACCUGGGAACUGCAUUUGUGACUGACGGGCUAGAGUAUGGCAGAGGGGGGUAGAAUUCCACGUGUAGCAGUGAAAUGCGUAGAGAUGUGGAGGAAUACCGAUGGCGAAGGCAGCCCCCUGGGCCAAUACUGACGCUCAUGCACGAAAGCGUGGGGAGCAAACAGGAUUAGAUACCCCAGUAGUCCCUGUCUCUUAUACA